UACGAAGGGUGCAAACGUUGCUCGGAAUUAUUGGGCGUAAAGCGCACGUAGGCGGCUUAGCAAGUCGGAUGUGAAAUCCCUCGGCUCAACCAAGGAAGUGCAUCCGAAACUGCUGAGCUUGAGUACUUAAGAGGAUGCGGAAUUCCCGGUGUAGAGGUGAAAUUCGUAGAUAUCGGGAGGAACACCAGUGGCGAAGGCGGCGUCUGGGAAGAUACUGACGCUGAGGAGCGAAAAGCGUGGGGAGCGAACAGG
rnacentral:rRNA from 1 species